rnacentral:rRNA from 1 species
AUUGAACGCUGGCGGCAUGCCUUACACAUGCAAGUCGAACGGCAGCACGGGAGGCUUGCUCCUGGUGGCGAGUGGCGAACGGGUGAGUAAUACAUCGGAACGUACCCUGAAGUGGGGGAUAACGUAGCGAAAGUUACGCUAAUACCGCAUAUUCUGUGAGCAGGAAAGAGGGGGAUCGCAAGACCUCUUGCUUUAGGAGCGGCCGAUGUCGGAUUAGCUAGUUGGUGAGGUAAAGGCUCACCAAGGCGACGAUCCGUAGCGGGUCUGAGAGGAUGAUCCGCCACACUGGGACUGAGACACGGCCCAGACUCCUACGGGAGGCAGCAGUGGGGAAUUUUGGACAAUGGCGCAAGCCUGAUCCAGCCAUGCCGCGUGAGUGAAGAAGGCCU